rnacentral:rRNA from 1 species
CCUACGGGAGGCAGCAGUGAGGAAUAUUGGUCAAUGGGCUUACGCCUGAACCAGCCAAGUCGCGUGAGGGAAGACUGCCCUAUGGAUUGUAAACCUCUUUUGCCGGGGAGCAAAAGCGGUACGCGUACCGCAUCGAGAGUACCCGGAGAAAAAGCAUCGGCUAACUCCGUGCCAGCAGCCGCGGUAAUACGGAGGAUGCGAGCGUUAUCCGGAUUUAUUGGGUUUAAGGGGUGCGCAGGCGGCGAGUUAAGUCAGCGGUAAAAUUUCGGGGCUCAACCCCGACAAGCCGUUGAAACUGGCUUGCU